rnacentral:rRNA from 1 species
AUUGAACGCUGGCGGCAGGCCUAACACAUGCAAGUCGAGCGGAUGAAGGGAGCUUGCUCCUGGAUUCAGCGGCGGACGGGUGAGUAAAGCCUAGGAAUCUGCCUGGUAGUGGGGGAUAACGUCCGGAAACGGGCGCUAAUACCGCAUACGUCCUGAGGGAGAAAGUGGGGGAUCUUCGGACCUCACGCUAUCAGAUGAGCCUAGGUCGGAUUAGCUAGUUGGUGGGGUAAAGGCCUACCAAGGCGACGAUCCGUAACUGGUCUGAGAGGAUGAUCAGUCACACUGGAACUGAGACACGGUCCAGACUCCUACGGGAGGCAGCAGUGGGGAAUAUUGGACAAUGGGCGAAAGCCUGAUCCAGCCAUGCCGCGUGUGUGAAGAAGGUCUUCGGAUUGUAAAGCACUUUAAGUUGGGAGGAAGGGCAGUAAGUUAAUACCUUGCUGUUUUGACGUUACCAACAGAAUAAGCACCGGCUAACUUCGUG